UGGGGAAUUUUGCACAAUGGGGGAAACCCUGAUGCAGCGACGCCGCGUGAUUUAGAAGGCCUUCGGGUUGUAAAAAUCUUUUUUACGGGAUGAAAAUGACAGUACCGUAAGAAUAAGGUCCGGCUAAAUACGUGCCAGCAGCCGCGGUAAUACGUAUGGACCGAGCGUUGUCCGGAAUCAUUGUGCGUAAAGGGUACGUAGGCGGCCUAGUAAGUUAGAAGUGAAAUAAUAUAGCUCAACUAUAUAAAGCUUUUAAAACUGCUAGGCUUGAGAGAUGGAAGGGAAAGUGGAAUUCCUAGUGUAGCGGUAAAAUGCGCAGAUAUUAGGAAGAAUACCGGUGGCGAAGGCGACUUUCUGGUCAUCAUCUGACGCUGAGGUACGAAAGCGUGGGUAGCAAACAGG
rnacentral:rRNA from 1 species